rnacentral:rRNA from 1 species
AACGAACGCUGGCGGCAGGCCUAACACAUGCAAGUCGAACGAAGUCUUCGGACUUAGUGGCGGACGGGUGAGUAACACGUGGGAACGUGCCUUUAGGUUCGGAAUAACUCAGGGAAACUUGUGCUAAUACCGAAUGUGCCCUUCGGGGGAAAGAUUUAUCGCCUUUAGAGCGGCUCGCGUCUGAUUAGCUAGUUGGUGAGGUAAAGGCUCACCAAGGCUACGAUCAGUAGCUGGUCUGAGAGGAUGACCAGCCACAUUGGGACUGAGACACGGCCCAAACUCCUACGGGAGGCAGCAGUGGGGAAUCUUGCGCAAUGGGCGAAAGCCUGACGCAGCCAUGCCGCGUGGAUGAUGAAGGUCUUAGGAUUGUAAAAUCCUUUCACCGGUGAAGAUAAUGACUGUAGCCGGAGAAGAAGCCCCGGCUAACUUCGUGCCAGCCGCCGCGGUAAUAC